rnacentral:ncRNA from 1 species
CCGCCCGGGCCCGGUUUUCGGGACCCGGAGGUAAUGAUCAACAGAGACGGGCGGGGGGCAUUCGUACCGAGACGUUAGAGGUGAAAUUCUUGGAUCGUCUCGAGACGAACUGACGCGAAAGCAUUUGCCAAGUACGUUCUCGUAUGAUCAAGAACGAAAGUUAGAGGUUCGAAGGCGAUCAGAUACCGCCGUAGUUCUAACUGUAAACGAUGCCAGCUAGCGAUCCGCCGGCGUUUCAUUAACGACCCGGCGGGCAGCUUCCGGGAAACCGAAGCUUUUCGGUUCCGGGGGAAGUAUGAUUGCAAAGUUGAAACUUAAAGGAAUUGACGGAAGGGCACCACCAGGAGUGGAGCCUGCGGCUUAAUUUGACUCAACACGGGAAACCUCACCAGGCCCGGACACCGGAAAGAUUGACAGAUUGAGAGCUCUUUCUUGAUUCGGUGGGUGGUGGUGCAUGGCCGUUCUUAGUUGGUGGAGCGAUCUGUCUGGUUAAUUCCGAUAACGAACGAGACUCUGUCCUGCUAACUAGGCGGGUAAACCCGGGUCGGCGUGUGCGCGGCGCUGGCGGUUUCGGCCGUCAGUGUUCGCGUACCCGUCGGCUCGGCCCGGUAUCCCCGAACGCGUUCGCCCGUCGUCCACGGCGGUCGUCGGGCGCGGCCGCGCCAUCCGCGUCCCGGCGUUCGGCGGGCGUAUGUCGGCCGGGGGGCAACCUCCGGUCGGCCUGCGUCCGUCGUGCGUCGGGCUCCGUGGUGAAGCGCGCCGUGUUCGCGGCCGUCGCCGGCGGAUCACGAUACGUUACUAGGGCUACCGCCGGCUCCCAGGAGCUUAAACUCUUCUUAGAGG